UACGGGUGGAGCAAGCGUUGUUCGGAUUUCCUGGGCGUAAAUGGCGCUUAGGCGGUCGUGACAAGUCACUUGUGAAAUCUCCGGGCUUAACUCGGAACGGUCAAGUGAUACUGUCGGACUAGAGUACAGAAGGGGCAACUGGAAUUCUCGGUGUAGCGGUGAAAUGCGUAGAUAUCGAGAGGAACACCUGCGGCGAAGGCGGGUUGCUGGGCUGAUACUGACGCUGAGGCGCGAAAGCCAGGGGAGCGAACGGG
rnacentral:rRNA from 1 species